AUGCAGAAGGCCCAUAAUUCCGUGAAGGUAAAAACGGUCCCCUCUUACCUCAUUGCUCCUAUUUUGAGACUGAAAUUAAGCUCAUCUACAGGGACCUACGGGGCAGGCAGAAGACUCCAGGGCCAGACCUACGUGCGGCAGCUCAGAAGCGGCACUGCCUGCCGGCAGCCUGGGUUCUGCCAGGAGAUUGCUACAUCUUUCCUGGGCACCAUCAUGCCAUUACCGCCCUCCUUCCUCUUCAGGGAAGUGACGUGUGACUCUUCCCCCGGGAGACAGCAGGGAGCUGGUCUGCUCUUCACAUCAGAAGUGCCCUCUUUUGGAUGUGCCGCAGAAGUGCCUCUGGUUGCCAGCAGGAGACAGGGUGCAGUGUGUUGCUACUUCAUGGAUAGAAAUCCAGAAGCCAACCUCCUCAGGGUGUGCAAUGGCCCUGUCGCAUCCAGAAAAUACUGGUUCACAGAGGUCAUCGACUGCCUCAGACUCUUACAGUCGCUCUGCACCCUCAUCAUUUUCUUCUGUCAAGUUGGUGUAUUAAAAAAAAAUGGAGACCAAGCAGAGCAUCCAGAAGAAACCUUCCCCAACACUGAAACCAAUAGUGAAUUUGGUAAACAUCCUGAAGAAGAUACGAAAGAAGAGGAAGUCUUUAAAAGAUCUAGAAAUACUGAUGAGAUGGUUGAACUGCACAUUUUGCUUCAGAGCAAGAAUGCUGGGGCAGGAUUGGACAAGGAGGCAAGAGUAUUAAGGCUCCCCACACAGACUGUAAUGCCAGUGUUUCAGUCCCAGACAGCAGUGGCUCCGAGAGCACACUGAGUAUCAAUGCUGAUAUUGAAACAAUCGAAGAAAUUCUGAAGAAAAUCAUCCCGACCUUGGAAGAGGACCUGCAGUUGCCAUGACCCACUGCAACCAGCCAGCUCCCACUCGAAUCUGAUGCUGUGGAAGGCUUAAAUUACCAACAGUAUAAAGGAGGUGACUUUGAAUGCGAGUUGAGACUGUUGAUUCAUCAAAGUCUGGCAGAAGGAAUUUUUGGUGUCAAAGGUGCUAAAAUUAAAGAGCUUUGAGAAAACACUCAGACAACAAUCGAAUUUUCCAGGAAUGCUGCCCUCUCUCCACUGACAGAGCUGUUCCUAUUGGAGGAAAGCCAGAUAGGUCUGUAGAGUGCACAAGAUCAUCCUUGACCUUAGAUCUGAGUCUCCCAUCAAAGGACGUGCACAGCCUUGUGAUUCCAAUUUUUAUGAUGAAACCCAUGAUUAUGGAGGUUUUACAAUGAUGUUUGAUGACCGCUGUGGACGUACUGUGGGAUUUCCCGUGCGGUGGUUUUGACAGAAUGUCUCCUGGUCAGGGUGGGUGUUCCAUACUUUCCUCUAGAAGAGAUUAUGAUGAUAUGAGCCUUCGUCAAGAACCUUCCCCACCUCCUCCUGGUCACGGUGGCCAGGGUGGAGCAGAGCUUGGAAUCUUCCUCUUCCUCCACAACCACCUCCCAGAGGGGGCGAUCUAAUGGCUUUUGACAGAAGAGGAGGGCCUGGAGACCUCCGUGAUGGCAUGGUUGGGUUCAGUGCUGAUGAAACUUGGGACUCUGCAAUUGUCACAUGGAGUCCACCGAAAUGGAAGAUGGCUUAUGAACCACAGGGUAGUUCUGGAUAUAAUUAUUUCUAUGCAGGGGGUCAUGGCUUCUAUGCUGAUCUUGGCAGACCUAUUAUUACCACAGAAGUAACUAUUCCCAAAGAUUUGGCUAAAUCUAUUAUUGGCAAAGGUGGUCAGCAGAUUAAAGAAAUCCAUCAUGAGUAAGGCACAUCGCUCAAAUUUGGAAGGAUCUGAAGAUGGGAUCAUUACCGUCACAGGACACAGGACCAGAUACAGAAUGCACAGCAUUUGCUGCAGAACAGUGUGGAGCAGUAUUCUGGAAAGUUCUUCUAAGACCAGUGAAGAACUGAAGGAGUCCUGUAUCUUUUUUCUUAUCUGCUUCUGUUUAA